rnacentral:rRNA from 1 species
UACGUAGGUGACAAGCGUUGUCCGGAUUUACUGGGCGUAAAGAGCGCGCAGGCGGUCGAUCAAGUCGAGUGUGAAAGCCCCCGGCUCAACUGGGGAGGGUCAUUCGAUACUGAUCGACUCGAAGGCAGGAGAGGGAUGCGGAAUUCCAGGUGUAGCGGUGAAAUGCGUAGAUAUCUGGAGGAACACCGGUGGCGAAGGCGGCAUCCUGGACCAACACUGACACUGAUGAGCGAAAGCCAGGGGAGCAAAACCGGG